rnacentral:rRNA from 1 species
AUGGCUAAUGUCUGUGCUACUGGACAAGUCGAGUUCUUUCCUUCCUCACAAGGAAAAGUCUUUCCUCCCUCUGACGCUGCGGCCGGUUCGCCUCACCUCCGACCUCCUUUGGGCCAUGGAGGUGCAGAGGGGGCGGGAGGACCUCGUUCUCGUGUUAGGUUCAUUGUCUUGGAUGGUGCUUGUCUUGGAUGGUGCUGUGUGACGACGGUGAUGUCCGAAAAUGCUCAGGCCGCCCUUGCGGGUGCAGCUGCCCGGUGCGCGGCUGAACAGCUCGUGGACGGCCAGGCCUCAGUACCAGUAGGGGUUGGUGCUGUCGCUCUCCCAUCGAGGGAGACGAGGCCGGGGUGGCCUCGGACUUGCCUUCUUCCAGCCGUGUGCCGGCUAGGAAGCGAGUGGCCAAGAUCUUUGGCGUACGAUCCACUCCAACGUGUUGAUUGGCACUGGACUCCUUCCGUGGGUCUUUUUGGUGGUCAAUUGGUGGGUUGUAAUAAAGAUGUUUGUGAUGUUAUUAUGUGGGAGUCUGGUUUGUUUUAUAUAGCUGUCACUGUUUGUCACCGGGUUUCCCAUGCUUCUUGGGUGAUUGUAAGUGUUUACGGGUCGGCUGACCACGCGAGGUCUGCUGAUUUCUUGGAAGAAAUCACAACUCUGGUCGGGGUCAAACAAGCGUCCAACCUACCAGUAGUAGUGGAAGGGAACUUUAACUUGAUUCGCUCGGGGGCGGACAAGAACAAUGACAACAUUAACUGGGCUAGGGUGUUCCUAUUCAACAAUGCCAUCGCGGCCGCUGCUCUUAGAGAGAUUGCGCGUACAGGGGCGAGAUAUACUUGGACUAACAAACAACGGGAGCCAGUCCGUUGUGUUCUCGACCGUGUGUUCUGUUCAAGUGAUUGGGAGGUGUUGUUCCCCCUCUGUACCUUAGUGGUUGAAACGCGCAUUGAUCAGACCACGUUCCUCUGA